rnacentral:lncRNA from 1 species
GUUCUCAAAGGGAGAUCAAUUAGGAUUUUUAUCGAAUGGGCCUGGAAGUAGGGACGUAGUCAUCGUAUGUCAUAACAAUAGUACAGAUGAUCUUUUCAAUUAAAAAAUAUCUUGUUUCUGCCCCAUGCAAGACCCGACUUAUAUAGUAGAUAGAUUUUUGUACCUUGUCUUCUUCUUGGACUAACAUCGAGCUCAUGGCCUCAAAGAUUGAAGCCAAAUACAUAAGCAGCUCCUUGCCUGUAUUCGGCUUUGUCAAGAGAGGUGGAGA